AAAAAGAAUUUGAUUCCAUGCGUGUUUUGCUUUGUGGAAAUGCAACAAGAACCACAAUCGGCGAGGCAAAUUAAGAAGGUUGCACAAUAUCUUGCAGCCGACAACCAAUCCAAUCCAAUCCCACCGACUAAUUCCACCCUUUAAGGGUUUUCUUCUUCCUUCCUCCUCGUGUCUUCUUCCCACAUAUUCCACGUCUCUUCCCAUGGCGGCUCUUCAAUUCCCCCCUCCUUACCCACUGGGCUAUCAAUCCUCUGUUCAUUGCCUUAAAAUCCCACCUACCCAUCUACCCAUUUGCGCGAUUUUCCAAACUUUUCCUGGAAUUUGAGUGUUUAAUCGAGGCAUGAGGCUGUAUGUGUAUGUAUUGGAGGCUAAGAAUCUCCUUGUGAAGGACUCGUUUGUGAAGCUACGGGUUGGGAGGCGUAAGGCUAAGACGAGGAUUAUGAGGAACAGUUGUAAUCCUGUUUGGAAUGAGGAGUUCAUUUUUAAGUUUCGUGAUGUGGAUGAGGAACUGGUUGUUUCUGUUUAUGAGCACAGUGAUGAGUCCAGAUUCUUCCAUGGUUCAUCGGGGUUGAUUGGUCGGGUUCGGAUUCCGAUAUGGAUGGUUGCUGAUGAGGAUUCACAGACCCUGCCGCCCACUUGGUUUGAUGUGCGAAGGUCUGGAACUGAGAAGUUCAUCAAUGAAGUUGCUGGGAAAGUGCUUCUUAUUGUCUCAUUACAUGGGAAAGUCAAUGUACUUAAUCAAUCAAGUGUUACUAAUGCUAAACAAUUGGAAGACUCGUCUACCAUUUCACAGGAUUUGGUCGGCUCGAAAUCUUCGUCCAGCAAGUCUAUCAAAGGGAAGUUUAACAAGAAGAGCAUUGUGACUCGAUUGGAGAGACUGUUCCAUAAGAGCGAUGAGGAUACAAGAACAGAUAAUUCUUCGGAGUUAUCAAGUGCCAUGUCUGAUAACGAAGAGCGCAUAAACGAGCAUCCCUCAGAAUGUAGCUUCGAUGAAGCCAUCGAGACGCUGCAGUCGAGGAGAAGUGAACAGGAAAUGCCAGAGAAUCUACCGGGCGGCGUUCUUGUCGAUCAAAUAUAUGUAGUUUCACCUGAUGAUUUGAACAAACUUCUGUUUGCUCCAGAUUCCAAGUUCAGGAGAGAACUAGCAGAACUUCAGGGAACAACAAAUUUAGAAGAAGGAAACUGGUCUUGGAAGCAAGGGGACGUACCGUGUCUAUCACGGAUCGUUUCUUACCGAAAAGCUGCAACGAAGGUCAUUGGAGCUAUUAAUGCUACCGAGGAGCAAACCUACAUCAAAGGGGACGGAUGGGAAUUCGCUGUCUUCGUAAACGUAAGUACACCUGAAGUUCCAUUUGGUAAUGCCUUCAAUGUUGAGUUACUUUACAAGAUAAUGCCUGGUCCUGAGCUAACCUCUGGAGAAGAGACGUCCCAUUUGGUAGUCUCUUGGGGCAUAAACUUCCUCCAUAGUACAAUGAUGAAAGGGAUGAUUGAAAAAGGCGUUCGACAGGGUAUGGAGGAAAGUUUUGUUCAAUUUACGAACGUGCUGGCACAGCAUUUAAAAGUACCGAAUUCAACCGAGUUACCGAACAAGGAUCUUGUGUUGUCGAGUUCUGAAAGUGACCGCCAAUCGGAUUUCGAAUUGGCCCGAAAAUACUUCUGGAACUUCACUAUAGUUUCUACCAUUUUCAUGCUGCUGUACAUACUUGCGCAUAUUACGCUUUGUAAGUCCAAAACAAUGCAAGGCUUGGAAUUCAUUGGAUUGGAUUUGCCAGAUAGUUUAGGAGAACUUGUUACUGGUGGGAUUUUAGUUCUUCAAUUGGAACGUGUUUAUAACGUGGUCUCACAUUUCAUUCAAGCUAGGCUAAAAAGAGAAGGUGACCAUGGUGUCAAAGGCCAAGGAAAUGGAUGGAUACUAACGGUUGCUCUUAUCGAAGGGGUGAACAUUUCGUCCUUGGAUUCUUCGGAUUCCUCGGACCCGUGUGUGGUUUUCACAUGCAAUGGUGAAAAAAGAACGAGCUCCGUUGAGCUUCAAACUCAUGAGCCUCAAUGGAAUGAGAUACUCGAGUUUGAUGCUAUGAAGGAACCGCCAUCAGUAUUAUAUGUGGAGGUUUUCAACUUCGAUGGCCCACUCGACCAGGCUACCUCGCUCGGACACGCAGAGAUCAAUUUCCUAAAAUAUAAAUCAACUGAACUUGCGGAUUUAUGGGUUCCUCUUGAGGGGAAGCUUGCUCAGUCUUCUCAAUCAAAGCUGCAUUUGAGAAUCUUCUUAGAUAAUACCGAUGGAGUCGAAACGAUGAGACAGUACUUGUCUAUGAAGGGAAAGGAGGUCGGGAAGAAGCUCCAUCCGAGGUCGCCUUACAGGAAUUCAACGUUUCAGAAACUUUUCGGGUUGCCAGCCGAAGAGUUUCUUGUCAGCGACUUCACUUGCUCCCUGAGAAGAAAAAUGCUUCUCCAGGGAAGACUAUUUCUAUCUGCCAGAAUCAUUGGGUUUUAUGCCAAUUUUUUUGGACAGAAAACAAAAUUUUUCUUUCUUUGGGAGGACAUUGAAGAUAUUCGAGUACUUCACCCGUCCCUCGCCUCUUUGGGUAGCCCAUCAUUGGUCGUAAUUCUUAAAAAAGGUCGAGGUCUCGAAGCAAGUCACGGUGCUAAGAUUCAAGACGAACAAGGAAGGCUUAGAUUUUACCUCCAAUCAUUUGUUUCAUUCAAUGUAGCCAGCAGGACGAUUAUGGGGAUGUGGAGAACAAGAACGUCGACCCUCAAUCAGAAAGUACAAGCUGCUGGAACGCCGAAUGAUUAGGAAGAAAGAUGUCAUUUGAUGAAGUUUGUACAGAACAAUCUGGAACGAGAUAGCUCGUGGGAAUUCGUGAGACCUGAUAUCACAUUGGAAGGCACAUCCAUACCAAUCCAACAGCAUUCUGGGGAUUAGGAGGAGGUUGGGUUUGAUUUCGGGGCCAGGCCGGGUGGAGAAAUCCAAUAUGAGGUUGGGUUCGAUUUCUAGGCCAGGCCGAGUAGAGAAAUCCAACAUUGAUUAGGAGGAGGUUGGGUUUGAUUUCCGGGUCAGACCGGGCUGAUAAAUCCAACAUUGAUUAGGAGGAGGUUGGGUUCGAUUUCUAGUCCAGGCCGGGUGGAGAAAUCCAACCUUGAUUAGGAGGAGGUUGGGUUCGAUUUCUAGGCCUGGCCGAGUAGAGAAAUCCAACAUUGAUUAGGAGGAGGCUGGGUUUGAUUUCUGGUCCAGGCCGGGUGGAGAAAUCCAACCUUGAUUAGGAGGAGGUUGGUUUCGAUUUCUAGUCCAGGCGGGGUGGAGAAAUCCAACCGUGAUUAGGAGGAGGUUGGGUUCGAUUUCUGGGUCGGACUGGCCGUAGAAAUCCAACAUGACAAGGAGGAGGUUGGGUUCGAUCCGGGCCAAGAGCUGGAGGUGAGGUCAUAAGAAAAGAUUAUCAUCAA